GAGGGAUUCUGAACCCUC
rnacentral:snRNA from 1 species